CCCCCUCUGGCCGGGAGGAGCCGUGUCUGCUCAAGAUGCUCAGGAAUGGGCAUGUGGGUAUUUCCUUUGUGCCCAAGGAAAUUGGAGAGCAUCUGGUUAACAUUAAGAAAAAUGGACGUCAUAUUCCUAAUAGCCCCAUCUCAGUCAUGAUCAACCAAUCUGAGCUCGGUGAUGCCAGCCGCGUGCGUGUAACUGGUCAAGGCCUGAGUGAAGCCCGCACCUUUGAGCCUGCAGAAUUUGUCAUUGACAC